rnacentral:ncRNA from 2 species
CUUUCCGAGGAGCGUUGCAAGGCCGCCUGUCGCCACGACAGCCGCCCCAGGCUCGGAAAUCCAAUUGCAACCGCGCUCACCCGCA